CAGAAAAGCCCGUUUCAUAACAUUUUUAUUAAAUUGUUUUAAUUCUUCGAUUAAACAAAGAGUAGGAAACUUACCGUGAAGAAGAUACAGGAAAUUUUUUCAUAGCUGAACUUCUACUUGUCUUUUCGAAUUCAAUUUCGCAUGGAAUUUUGGUCAACAUUGUGACUGUCAGAUGUAAUUUCUGAUUUCUCAUCCAAGUACUUAAUUUUAUGCUAUUAAAAUUCAUUUCAUCUAGCAAAUAAAAAGUAGCUGGGAAGAAUAAAUCAGACAGUUUAACUAUUCUUUAGUCUGCAAUCUGAGGAUUGAACAACGGAAAUGAAACAGUGAUAAUAAUCGAAAGUCGUACUCGAAAAAGGCUGUGAAAUAUUUCCGUUUCAAGUCGUUACAAAACAAUGUGAAUGAACAUCAUUUAAACUUGUUUUUAUGAUAUUAAGUUUUAAAAAAAUUAAAAAAAUGUCACACUUAUUUAAAGAAAUAAACGACAUUUUGAUUUAAUCGAUGUCCCGUUUCAUCUGUUCAUAGUGCAUGACUGUGAUUUCGUAAUGCACGGGUGUGAUUUCGUAAUGCAUGACUGAUAUUUCGUAAUGCAUGACUGAGAUUUCGUAAUGACUGGCUGUAGCAAUUUUUCCGUUCAUAAUGACCAGAUGUUGAAAUUUUCCUUUUAUAAAGCAUGGGCAUUUCUAUACAUAUUGUAAUAAGUUGGUUAAUAAUAAGU
rnacentral:lncRNA from 1 species